rnacentral:lncRNA from 1 species
GUGGAAGAGCGGUCCAAACUUCAUGGAAACUAACCAAUGACCUUACCUCUCUCAUAAGGGUGUGAGGACUGCUCACCUAUCAGGUCCUUCAAAAUCACCGUUCUCCAGCAAGCUUUUUAAAGGUAAACAGCAGUGAAAGAUAAUGUUCCAGAUGGAAACCCACAGUAUCACUAUCCUUUGCUUUUGAUGAAGUCAGAGCCAUGUGUUUUCAUGAUCUAUAUAGGACUAGGAUGUUAAAAAAAACUGCGUUCUUCAGAAGGGCAUAGGCCAGGAUCAAAUGCCACCUCUGCCUGGAGAAAAACUUGGAAAGCAUCUGAGAACAGGGCCAAGAAGAGGAUUGUCUUGCUGAAUGCUAAUACUCAUCAGCCUAAGUUGGAAUUUGCUUAAGCACUGAGAGUGCUGGAAGCCAGGAAGCAGUGUGAAGAUGCUGACAGUCUGGGAUUUCUGUUCCUGGGAAAAUGAACUCUUGCCGAAAGAGCAGUGGGUGGGUCCCACAGACCCUGCUCGGAGCUAUUUUUAGAGCAUUUGUCCCUGACUCCCACCUAGUGGCUUCUUCCAGCACUGCACAGGGACAAAGAACCACCACUGAUGCCACCUGAGCCCGGCCCAGGAGCCCCUUGGGAGCUGAGCGCAGAAAGAAAGCACGGACACACCUACUCCUUUCUCAUCUCUCACUCAAGUUCACACCUGUCACAGGGGAGGUAAGAAAACAUGCUGGAAAUCGGCUCACACAGGCUCUACUUUUUUUCUUGAAAAAUAAGCACCAAAUUUUCCCUCCUCUAAGAUCCAGAGGAAAAGGUUUACCUACAAAACUCCUUCUGUAACUUUUCAAAAUUGAAAUGUUCAACACACACGUAUCCUGACUAUCUUUUGUUUUCCAUUCUGGAGAUACAGAAAUGAAUCCCAUGGUAAAAAAAUUCAAGCUCACAUUUUAUAAUUCAUAAAACAGCUUUUUCUCUCCACUUUUUUUUUUGCAACUCCUCUAGCUUUUCAAUAUGGUAAACAGAUUUGCUUCUUGGACAGAAUGAAAGAUUGCAAGCUGAAUCUGGCAGGAAUGUAUGGGCUUUGUUUGAGGAGCUGGGAGCUGAAGAAACCGCCAUCUGUGACAAGGUGGUUUGGA